rnacentral:rRNA from 1 species
AACGAACGCUGGCGGCAGGCUUAACACAUGCAAGUCGAGCGCCCCGCAAGGGGAGCGGCAGACGGGUGAGUAACGCGUGGGAAUCUACCCAUCUCUACGGAAUAACGCAUGGAAACGUGUGCUAAUACCGUAUACGUCCUUCGGGAGAAAGAUUUAUCGGAGAUGGAUGAGCCCGCGUUGGAUUAGCUAGUUGGUGGGGUAAAGGCCUACCAAGGCGACGAUCCAUAGCUGGUCUGAGAGGAUGAUCAGCCACACUGGGACUGAGACACGGCCCAGACUCCUACGGGAGGCAGCAGUGGGGAAUAUUGGACAAUGGGCGCAAGCCUGAUCCAGCCAUGCCGCGUGAGUGAUGAAGGUCCUAGGGUUGUAAAGCUCUUUCACCGGUGAAGAUAAUGACGGUAAUCGGAGAAGAAGCCCCGGCUAACUUCGUGCCAGCCGCCGCGGUAAAAC